rfam:Xenopus tropicalis strain Nigerian Chr03_contig_1484, whole genome shotgun sequence.
CUGGGAUAUGGGGAUAUGUACCCUCAGACUUGGUCAGGGAUGUUGGUAGGUGCAUUGUGCGCUUUGGCUGGUGUACUUACAAUAGCAAUGCCUGUUCCGGUCAUUGUUAACAAC